UGAGGACUAUGUGCUAGACACUUCACUCUUGGCUUGAUUCCGAUGGACUGAUUGAUAGUCAAACAUCUUUGAUCCACAAAACUGCAAUUUCAUAUGGUCUACCUAACAAAUGCUUUACAUGUUUUAUCUUCUAAUCCUUACAACAACUGGUAAGGAAUUGCAAGGGGAGCUGUGGGCUUGACAAUGCUGGCAGCCAUUGCAACUGAGGAUGGAAUUAACAUGGAACACAACAGAGCUGGACGUCUGAGCCCUAAGGACGGCUUUUGGGAUCUCAAAUCCAGCUAUGCCUGAAGACCUAAAGCUAGAAGCUCCUGUGCUUUUCAGUUACAGCCAGUAAAUCCUCUUUUUUGGCUUAAGCCAGUUUGAAUUGGGUUUCUACACAGCCUGAAACUGCUAUGAAGUCAAAGGUAGUGUUAGUGCUGGAAGACACUGCAUGGAUAACCUCCUCAAGGGGCCACUUCACUUUCACCACCAAAUGCCCCUUUUCACCGAUCCUUGUCUACUGCUACCUUGUUUGAUAGAUUAUGUCUACCAAAAAUAAACAAAACCCGCAUUGAGAAUCAAGA
rnacentral:lncRNA from 1 species